rnacentral:rRNA from 1 species
UAACACAUGCUCGUCGAGCGCUCGUAGCAAUACGGGAGCGGCAGACGGGAGAGUAACACGUGGGAACGUACCCUUCGGUUCGGAAUAACCCAGGGAAACUUGGGCUAAUACCGGAUACGUCCGCAAGGAGAAAGAUUUAUUGCCGAAGGAUCGGCCCGCGUCCGAUUAGCUAGUUGGUGGGGUAACGGCCCACCAAGGCGACGAUCGGUAGCUGGUCUGAGAGGAUGAUCAGCCUCACUGGGACUGAGACACGGCCCAGACUCCUACGGGAGGCAGCAGUGGGGAAUAUUGGACAAUGGGCGCAAGCCUGAUCCAGCCAUGCCGCGUGGGUGAUGAAGGCCUUAGGGUUGUAAAGCCCUUUCGGCGGGGAAGAUAAUGACGGUACCCGCAGAAGAAGCCCCGGCUAACUUCGUGCCAGCAGCCGCGGUAAUACGAAGGGGGCUAGCGUUGCUCGGAAUCACUGGGCGUAAAGCGCACGUAGGCGGGUCCUUAAGUCAGGGGUGAAAUCCUGGAGCUCAACUCCAAACUGCCUUUGAUACUGA